rnacentral:rRNA from 1 species
CUUGAACGCUGGCGGCAUGCCUAACACAUGCAAGUCGAACGAGUGGCGGACGGGUGAGUAAUUUCUUGGAACGUGCCUGAUGGCGGGGGAUAACUACUGUAACCGGUGGCUAAUACCGCUUACUAUUGGAUGUUCCCAGAUGGGAUUAGCUAGUAGGGGGGGUAAAGGCUCACCAAGGCGACGAUCCCUAGCUGGUCUGAGAGGAGGACCAGCCACACUGGGACUGAGACACGGUCCAGACUCCUACGGGAGGCAGCAGUGGGGAAUAUUGGACAAUGGGCGCAAGCCUGAUGCAGCCAUGCCGCGUGUAUGAAGAAGGCCUUCGGGGUGUAAAGUACUGUCAGCAGGGAAGCGGUACCCGAAGAAGAAGCACCGGCUAACUCCGUGCCAGCCGCCGCGGUAAUAC